rnacentral:tRNA from 1 species
GGGCCGGUAGCUCAGCCUGGCAGAGCGGCGGGCUUUUAACCCGUAGGUCCCGGGUUCAAAUCCCGGCCGGCCCGCCA